rnacentral:rRNA from 1 species
AUUGAACGCUGGCGGCAGGCCUAACACAUGCAAGUCGAACGAGUGGCGGACGGGUGCGUAAUGUCUGGGAAACUGCCCGAUGGAGGGGGAUAACUACUGGACACAGUAGCUAAUACCGCAUACCAUCGGAUGUGCCCAGAUGGGAUUAUCUAGUAGGGGGGGUAACGGCUCACCUGGGCGACGUUCCCUAGCUGGUCGGAGAGGAUGACCAGCGAAACAGAAACUGAGACACGGUCCAGACGAAUAAGGGAGGCAGCAGUGGGGGAUAUUGCAAAAUGGGCGCGAGCCUGAUGCAGCCAGGCCGCGUGUAUGAAGAAGGCCUUCGGGUUGGAAAGGACUUUCAGCGAGGAGGCGUUACUCGCAGAAGAAGCACCGGCUAACUCCGUGCCAGAAGGCGCGGUAAUAA